rnacentral:rRNA from 1 species
AAGUACCGUGAGGGAAAGUUGCAAAGUACUCUGAAGAGAGAGUAAACAGUACGUGAAACCGCAUAGAGGUAAACGGGUAGAGUUGAACUGCAAGCUCGGAAGAUUCAGCUGGUGGGUUUGAUCGUGCCUGGUGCGGGGGUCUGCUUAACUGCGGGUUAUUGCUCUCGGGUGAUAAUUGGCGAUGCACUUGUCAUGUGUUGCCUACCUCUGUGCUGCUGGUCGGCUCGUCAGUGCACUUUUUUCGGGUGUUCAUCACGACCGGCACUGCCGUCUGUCCGCUGUGCCCAAACCAGUGGAGUUUGGUUUUUUGACCUUACUCUGCUGGCAUGGCAGGUAGCCUGUUGGUCUUCGGGCCUUCGGGUGUAAUAGCUGGGUAUGGUGGAUCUGUGCGGUGUGUCGGAGACGGCGGCUUUGUGGUGCGAAUGCUGUUGGCCGCGCGGUCGAGUUUCGCCAUAUUGGGGAGCUCGAUUUGCGUGACUGGCGGUUCUUUGUACUGCUUAAUCGGCCUAUAGUCUGUGGUGUAGUGGUAAACUCUCUACCCGACCCGUCUUGAAACACGGACCAAGGAGUUUAACAUGUGCGCGAGUCAUUGGGCUAACCGAAACCCACAGGCGAAAUGAAAGUAAAGGUCUGGCUUGUCUGGACUAAGGUGAGAUCUUGUCGUUCCAAUGCUUUUUGGCGUUCGGGCGGCAGGCGCAUCACCGGCCCGUCCCAUGGUGUGGUCAUGGUUCCUCGUGGACUAUGCGUCAUCGGGGUGGAGCAUGAGCGUGCAUGUUGAGACCCGAAAGAUGGUGAACUAUGCUUGUGCAGGUUGAAGCCAGAGGAAACUCUGGUGGAGGACCGCAGCGAUUCUGACGUGCAAAUCGAUCGUCAAACAUGAGCAUAGGGGCGAAAGACUAAUCGAACCAUCUAGUAGCUGGUUCCCUCCGAAGUUUCCCUCAGGAUAGCU